rnacentral:rRNA from 1 species
AAUCAACGCUGGCGGCGUGCCUAACACAUGCAAGUCGAACGCGAAAGUGGAGCAAUCCAUGAGUAGAGUGGCAAACGGGUGAGUAACGCGUGGGCGACCUGCCUUCGAGUGGGGGAUAACAUUCCGAAAGGGAUGCUAAUACCGCAUAACAUCCUUCGUUUAGAUACGAGGUGAUCAAAGCCGGGAGCAAUUCUGGCGCUUAAAGAGGGGCCCGCGUCCGAUUAGCAGUUGGUGGGGUAACGGCCUACCAAGGCUUCGAUCGGUAUCCGGCCUGAGAGGGCGGACGGACACACUGGAACUGAGACACGGUCCAGACUCCUACGGGAGGCAGCAGUGGGGAAUUGUUCGCAAUGGGCGCAAGCCUGACGACGCAACGCCGCGUGGAGGAUGAAGACCUC